rnacentral:rRNA from 1 species
AGCGAACGUUAGCGGCGGGCUUAACACAUGCAAGUCGAGCGAGAACGGGGCAACCCUAGUACAGCGGCGGACGGGUGAGUAACACGUAGGUAGCGUGCCCCCAGGUGGUGGAUAACCUUCCGAAAGGAGGGCUAAUACAGCAUAAGACCACGGCUCCGAAAGGGGCUGAGGUCAAAGUCGGCCUCUAUUCAUAAGCUGACGCCAGGGGAUCGGCCUGCGGCCCAUCAGGUAGUUGGUAGGGUAACGGCCUACCAAGCCAAAGACGGGUAGCUGGUCUGAGAGGAUGAUCAGCCACACUGGAACUGAGACACGGUCCAGACUCCUACGGGAGGCAGCAGUGGGGAAUCUUGCGCAAUGGGCGAAAGCCUGACGCAGCGACGCCGCGUGGGUGAUGAAGGCCUUCGGUGUAAGCCUGUGGGGAGACGAUAGUCGUGGCGAAUAGACCACGAUGAUGACGGUAGUCCCCUUAGCAAGCACCGGCUAACUCUGUGCCAGCAGCCGCGGU